rnacentral:rRNA from 1 species
AUUGAACGCUGGCGGCAUGCCUUACACAUGCAAGUCGAACGGUAACGCGCCUUCGGGUGCCGACGAGUGGCGAACGGGUGAGUAAUACAUCGGAACGUGCCCGAUCGUGGGGGAUAACGAGGCGAAAGCUUUGCUAAUACCGCAUACGAUCUACGGAUGAAAGCAGGGGACCGCAAGGCCUUGCGCGGACGGAGCGGCCGAUGGCAGAUUAGGUAGUUGGUGGGAUAAAAGCUUACCAAGCCGACGAUCUGUAGCUGGUCUGAGAGGAUGAUCAGCCACACUGGGACUGAGACACGGCCCAGACUCCUACGGGAGGCAGCAGUGGGGAAUUUUGGACAAUGGGCGCAAGCCUGAUCCAGCCAUGCCGCGUGCAGGAUGAAGGCCUUCGGGUUGUAAACUGCUUUUGUACGGAACGAAAAGCCUUCUUUUAAUACAGGAGGGUCAUGACGGUACCGUAAGAAUAAGCACCGGCUAACUACGUG